rnacentral:rRNA from 1 species
GUACGUAGGGGGCGAGCGUUGUCCGGAAUGACUGGGCGUAAAGGGCGUGUAGGCGGCCGAUUAAGUCUGGAGUGAAAGUCCUGCUUUCAAGGUGGGAAUUGCUUUGGAGACUGGUUGGCUUGAGUGCGGAAGAGGUAAGUGGAAUUCCCAGUGUAGCGGUGAAAUGCGUAGAGAUUGGGAGGAACACCAGUGGCGAAGGCGACUUACUGGGCCGUAACUGACGCUGAGGCGCGAAAGCGUGGGGAGCGAACAGGAUUAGAUACCCUGGUAGUCCACGCGGUAAACGAUGAAUGCUAGGUGUAGCGGGUAUCGACCCCUGCUGUGCCGCAGUAAACACAAUAAGCAUUCCGCCUGGGGAGUACGGCCGCAAGGUUGAAACUCAAAGGAAUUGACGGGG